rnacentral:rRNA from 1 species
GCGCACCAGGCGCGAAACUUUACAAUGUGCGAAAGCACGAUAAGGGAACUCUGAGUGCCUCCUAAGGAGGCUGUUCAGGUGUCUAAAAGCACCUGAAGGAAGGGCUGGGUAAGACCGGUGCCAGCCGCCGCGGUAACACCGGCAGCCCAAGUGGUAGCCACGUUUAUUGGGUCUAAAGCGUCCGUAGCCGGCUGGGUAAGUUCCUUGGGAAAUUUGGCUGCUUAACAGUCAAGCUUUCAGGGAAUACUGCCCGGCUUGGGACCGGGAGAGGUCAGAGGUACUCCAGGGGUAGGGUGAAAUCCAUUAAUCCUUGGGGGACCACCGGUAGCGAAGGCGUCUGACCAGACCGGGUCCGACGGUGAGGGACGAAGGCUAGGGGCGCGAACCGGAUUAGAUACCCGCGUAGU